rnacentral:rRNA from 1 species
GAACGCUGGCGGCGUGCUUAACACAUGCAAGUCGAACGGAAAGGCCCUGCUUUUGUGGGGUGCUCGAGUGGCGAACGGGUGAGUAACACGUGAGUAACCUGCCCUUGACUUUGGGAUAACUUCAGGAAACUGGGGCUAAUACCGGAUAGGAGCUCCUGCUGCAUGGUGGGGGUUGGAAAGUUUCGGCGGUUGGGGAUGGACUCGCGGCUUAUCAGCUUGUUGGUGGGGUAGUGGCUUACCAAGGCUUUGACGGGUAGCCGGCCUGAGAGGGUGACCGGCCACAUUGGGACUGAGAUACGGCCCAGACUCCUACGGGAGGCAGCAGUGGGGAAUAUUGCACAAUGGGCGGAAGCCUGAUGCAGCAACGCCGCGCGCGGGAUGACGGCCUUCGGGUUGUAAACCGCUUUCGCCUGUGACGAAGCGUGAGUGACGGUAAUGGGUAAAGAAGCACCGGCUAACUACGUG